rnacentral:lncRNA from 1 species
ACUCACCUGUGUCACUGUGCGGGGAGGGCAGGGUCUCGCCAGCAGCCGGUGGCACAUGCGGGCGGCACGGGGGCUGCGUGGUGGCCUCUGUGAUGUCACCUGGCAGAGGGUCGACCAGGGAGCACAGAGCCCUGAACAUCCCUUCAACAGCGCGCCACACGCUCCUGGCACAAACUCCAGACCACGGCACAGCACCCAGAUGGCUGCAGCCACGCAGUUUUCCUGGCGUCUUGUCCUCUGGAUGGGCCUCUGGAUGAACAUAAACUCCAGGGAAGCUGCAUAGAAUAUGCAGCUCUUCUUUAACGCUCCCUAGAGGAAGAAAGCCCCUCAGCCGGAAGUAUUGUUGACGUCGCCGCCACUACUAAUGAAAUAUUUACUGAAAAGCCAAAGCGAAACAUUUUUCUAGUUAAUUAAAACAGUGCAUCUUUCAAGCAAGCUCCCUCGAGGGGCCAGGCUCGGACGGACCCAGCGGGCAGGCAACCCGAGGUGCUCCUGAGUGGGGUCUCGACUGGGAAGGGGGCGCCCAGGACGCAGGUGGGGUUCCUGCCACACGACACUGAGGGGUGGGGGGACAGACGCUGCAGAGACCCUGCGAAAGGCCCCUCCCGAUGGGUAAACUCACACUUGGUACACGCUGGCAGGGGCAUCUGGGCCUGCACUCUGGAAUUGGUGGUGGUCCUGGGAAGGUUUUUUGGGCCAGGGACAAGAGUACUUGGGUUUGCUUUCUGGAAAAAUGAAAAAAGAGAA